GUCACCAAGGAUAGACAAUCCUGAGACAGCUGUUGAAGAGGCGCUUCAUCCGGGUCUAGCAUGAGAUAAAGUGAAUGGGGAAAAUGAUGAGAGGAUUGUCGCAGGACAACUCCAGCAAAAGUGGGGAGCCAUGGUUCAGUCCCACAUAGAGGGGAAAAGAGAAAUAUAAAAAAAUUAACAUACUCUGACAUUUCAAAAAGUGGAAAAUCACAGAGACCGG